rnacentral:rRNA from 1 species
CAGCCGCCACGGUAAGACAGAAGAUGCAAGCGUUGUUCGGAAUUAUUGGGCGUAAAGGGUGCGUAGGCGGUUUGACAAGUCUUGUGUGAAAUCUCUGGGCUCAACCCAGAGUCUGCACGGGAAACUGUCGGGCUAGAGGAUGGGAGAGGUGAGUGGAAUUUCCAGUGUAGCGGUGAAAUGCGUAGAUAUCGGAAGGAACACCUGUGACGAAAGCGGCUUACUGGACCAUUUCUGACGCUGAUGCACGAAAGCUAGGGGAGCAAAUGGGAUUAGAUACCCCUGUAGUCCCUGUCUCUUAUAC